CUUCUUUAUAAUGGUCUUUUUUGUAAUUACUAUAAGAUUUUUUUGUGUGUGGUAAUCAUGAAACUUAUAUAACAUAUCUUAGCCCAGAUGUGAACAUUGCUGGGGUGCAGAUGUGGGGAGGAGGUGACUGUGGGCAGAGUAUGUCUCCACUGAGCACUUGGAUUCAGCUCUUUCAUUUCCAACAUGGAAGAAAUUUACAUGAAUUCCCUGGACCCUAGAGGCUAUUACAAUGUCUGUAUAAUAAAACCACCAGAUCAAGGUCUGCAGGUUUCCUUAUCAUAUCAAGUGCAGAAAGACUCAUCUUGAUGUCGCAGAUUGGCUACUUGUCCCUUUAAUGUUUGCCAUCAGGUUCCUUGGGCCAAAACCUGUCUCAUAUCUCAAGCUGUGAUGAUAAAAGUUGUAUUGAGCAGAAUGUCGUCAACCAAACCAUGAACCUUGGACAAGAGAUUCUGGCUUCUGGCCAAGAGCACAAGGCAGUGCCUUCUUUGUAAUGAAGACUGAGAUAAAGAUCUCUGGGACUAGACCAGCACACCAUUGAUCUGGGGCAUAGCUAACUACUGUGGCAACAACAGCCCUGAAAACAACAUAGUUAUGGAACAUAAGAGUAACCUGGCUUCAGUCAUGUGCAUCCCUGAGUCUCUGCUGUAUGUUCUGCCAUGGAAAAACCAUGGAAAUGCACAGUUUUUGUCAUCUAUCACAUGGGAAAGGGUGGAGAGCUCCUUCCAAGUUGGUAUAAAAUCCUUUUAUGGAUGGUUUCCUCUUGGGAUGGGGGGUUGUCCCUGCCUACCUGCCUUCCAACCAUCCUUCAUCAAAUACCUUUAGAAAUAAGGUAAGUGAUAUGAAUGUGCUGAACAGCCAAAAGCAAUUCAUUAGGAAGUGAUGCCAGUGAGGUUGGUAGGGAGAACACAUACCUGGCCUAGAGAUACAAAGUCAAAUAUUAUAUAUAGAUAGAUGAUAGAUGGAUAGAUAGAUAGAUAGAUAGAUAGAUAGAUAGAUAGAUAUAGAUACAAUUCCUCAA
rnacentral:lncRNA from 1 species